GCCGGGAUAGCUCAGUUGGUAGAGCAGGGGAUUGAA
rnacentral:tRNA from 1 species